AGUCCCAGCUACUCGGGAGGCUGAGGUGGGAGAAUCGCUUGAGCCCAGUGGGGUGGGGAUGGAGGCGGAGUUUGUAGUGAGCCAAGAUUGCACCACUGCACUCCAGCCUGGGUGACAGGUGACAGAGUGAGACUCUGUCUUAAAAAAUAAAAUAAAUAAAUAAAAACAAGCAGGAAAACUACUGAGCAGAUCAGCGCCCGGAAUAAAGGUUACUAAUAUUACAAUAAUAUUUUCAUUAGAACGUUCUAAUUAUAAAAAUAAAACUUGUUUUCUUAAAAAAGAAAAGCAGCAGAAAUAGCAGCAGCUGCACACUGUGAGGAGAAGGCAGACUCCAAAGAAUCAGUCCAAGCCAGCCACUAAAUGAACAAACAAGACGGCAACAACAAUGCUGGGAAAGGGAACUGGAAUCCACAGUUGUUACAAUAUAUUUUAUUUAUUUACUUAUUUAUUUUUAUGUUAUUUUAAUUUUUUUUGAGAUGGAGUCUCACUCUGUUGCCCAGGCUGGAGUGCAAUGGUGCGAUCUCGGCUCACUGCAACCUCCACCUCCCGGGUUCAAGGGAUUCUCCGGCCUCCACCUCCCGAGUAGCUGGGAUUACAGGCAUGCACCACCAUGCCUGGCUAAUUUUUGUAGUUUUGUAGAGAUGGGGUUUCACCAUGUUGGCUAGGCUGGUCUUGAACUUCUGACCUCAGGUGAUCUGCCUGCCUCAGCCUCCCAAAGUGCUGGCAUUACAGGCAUGAACCACUGUGCCCGGCCUUAUUUUAUUUAUUUAUUUACUGAGACAUGGUCUUGCUCUAUCACCAAGGCUGGAGUGCAGUGGCACAAUCUUGGCUCACUGCAACUUCUCGGCCUCUGAGUAGCUGGGACUACAGGCACACCAGCUAAUUUUUGUAUUUUUUGUAGAGACAGGGUCUCACUGUGUUGCCCAGGCUGGUCUCAAACUCCUGGCCUCAAAGGAUCCUACCACCUCGACCUCCCAAAGUGCUGAAAUUACAGGUGUGAGCCACCGUGUUUGGCCAUAUUAUCUAAAAUGUCCAUUUGUCAACAAAAAAUUGCAAGACAUGCAAAGAAAAAGGAAAGUGUGACCCACACUCUGGAAAAAAAGAGAGUCAACAGAAACUCACUGAGGGGUCCCAGAUGUUAGACUUUGUCUCUCUCCUUCCCUCUCUUUCUCCCUGUUCCAAUUUCCAGGGACGAGGCUCUGACUGGCCAGGUUCCACCCCUGAUCCUAUCAUCUGUGGAGGAGGUGGAGUGGGCAGAGAAAAAUUGUAAUAACAUAGUACGUGGAAGCUACUUGACCCCACAUGGGUGAAGAUCAUUUCCUAGAGAAAAGAGGGGUCACUGGUUCCAGUUUAGGUAGACAUCCCCAGAGGUGUCUGUUGCUCUUGUUUCUUUUCUGAAAGGUAAGUGGUGACACCUCCAGGAGCCCAGUGGCAUUUGGAUUUGUUAUCUCCCACUGGGAGGACGGCAUCCUUCAUUUGCUGGCCAUUUCUUAGGUUGGUGAUUUGCAAACAUCCCUUCUCCCCAUGGAGGGACUGUGUAGAGUUGGAAGAGGGGAGGGAUGGGAAGAGGCUACACUAACCCUAGGCUCCUUUUCAGCAACCAAGUCUCAGAAGUGGUGCCAUCAUUCACUUUUGAUUUAAUGUAAAUUGCAUUAAAACAACAAAGAAAUAGUUGUUGGAUCUCUUUCCUCUGACUCCAUUUCUGCCAAUGAUCAAGAUUGGGCUGUGUGACCAGGACAUGGGUGGGAGCCCUGACAACACUCAGGGUGGGCCCUGUGUGAACCGCAGCUCUCAAGUAGCAAGGAGAAGACAAAAGAACCAGGAAUGAGAAAAAUAAAAGGUAUUAAAAUAGGCUUAGCUACUUUGGGGUUUUCCUUUGUAUUUAUAUUUAGCAAGGAUUGUGUGCCUAACUCUGCAUUAAAAUAGCUGAUGCUACCAGUCAUUGUUCCAGGCCUUUGCACACUGCAGCCUGGCAGGCUUUCUGCAGCCAAAAGUGAAGGCAGCUGGCAGGGCCUGGCCCACCCAAGCCGAGGAGAGGGCAUUUAUUUCAUGGACCUCCCUCACUGAAC
rnacentral:lncRNA from 1 species